AUUGAACGCUGGCGGCAUGCCUUACACAUGCAAGUCGAACGGUAACAGGUCUUCGGAUGCUGACGAGUGGCGAACGGGUGAGUAAUGCAUCGGAACGUGCCCAGUAGUGGGGGAUAGCCCGGCGAAAGCCGGAUUAAUACCGCAUACGACCCGAGGGUGAAAGGGGGGGAUCGCAAGACCUCUCGCUAUUGGAUCGGCCGAUGUCAGAUUAGCUAGUUGGUGGGGUAAAGGCCUACCAAGGCAACGAUCUGUAGUUGGUCUGAGAGGACGACCAGCCACACUGGGACUGAGACACGGCCCAGACUCCUACGGGAGGCAGCAGUGGGGAAUUUUGGACAAUGGGCGCAAGCCUGAUCCAGCAAUGCCGCGUGCAGGAAGAAGGCCUUCGGGUUGUAAACUGCUUUUGUCAGGGAAGAAAUCUUCUGGGUUAAUACCUCGGGAGGAUGACGGUACCUGAAGAAUAAGCACCGGCUAACUACGUGCCAGCCGCCGCCGUAAGAC
rnacentral:rRNA from 1 species